AGGCGCGGAGGCCGUGAACCUGACCGCGAGCGGCCCCGAACACGAGCCGCUGAACGGCGGCGGCUCUUCAUCCGGUUUGGUGCCAUAAAUCAUCCGAGCGGCCGGCAGAUAAUCUGCAGCUGGAACCCGGACCACCGCGCGCCUUCCUCAGGUUGAUGCAGACCCCAGCCUACCUGUGGAUGAUUGCACCGGCGUGUCCGACUCGUGGAAAGCCUGCAGCGCCGCGGACUCCUUCCCCUGCAGGAAGCUCUUCCCGUCAUCCGCGUCCAGCCGGAUGUCCUGAGUUUUGUCGAAGACGGCGUGCAGAGCCUGCGAGCCAAACUUCCUGGCCGCCUCCUGGUGCUGCUGGCCGGACGGGGAGAAGCCGCCGGGCAGCGACGCCAUGAGCGUGGAGGUGAGCGCCAUGCCCUGCGUCAAGCCCUGCGCCAGGCUGGAGCAGAAGCCGCUCUGCAGGCUGGGGAUCUGGUGGUGCGGGUGAUGGCCGGUCGGCAGAGCCUGCUGGAGGCCCGGGGGCGGCGGCGGCGGCGGCUGGAGCACCACUGACCGAUACGGCAUGAACAUGGGGUAGCCAGUGUAGACGAAGUGUCCCGGGCUGGGCUGCGGGGGCCCCCCGAUCAGAGAGUCGAUGCUGAAGGCAGUGGUGCUUCCGAGUGGCCGCUGCAUCACCAUGAAGGACGGGCUGAACGCUGCACUCAUAUGAACCAGCGCUGGAGCUCGGAGGGAGAAGAAGAGGUGCAGGGGGCGGCGAGGGAGGGACGGGCGACCCCCCCUUGGACGGGACCGGCCGGGGGUGUCACAGCCUGGCGGAUGGAUCGACAACCGGAGCUCAGAGAACAGCGCCGUAAUUGUUCCAGAAUGGAGGUGUUUCUGUCCUGUGUGUGUUUGUAGUGUGUGUGUGUGUAAGAAAGACAAGCAGAGGCAUUGUUGUGUGUGUGUGUACACCUGAGUUUCUCCUACUGUUGAUCAGGGGAAACAUGAC